rnacentral:rRNA from 1 species
GACGAACGCUGGCGGCGUGCCUAAUACAUGCAAGUUGAGCGCUGAAGGUUGGUACUUGUACCAACUGGAUGAGCAGCGAACGGGUGAGUAACGCGUGGGGAAUCUGCCUUUGAGCGGGGGACAACAUUUGGAAACGAAUGCUAAUACCGCACAAAAACUUUAAACACAAGUUUUAAGUUUGAAAGAUGCAAUUGCAUCACUCAAAGAUGAUCCCGCGUUGUAUUAGCUAGUUGGUGAGGUAAAGGCUCACCAAGGCGAUGAUACAUAGCCGACCUGAGAGGGUGAUCGGCCACAUUGGGACUGAGACACGGCCCAAACUCCUACGGGAGGCAGCAGUAGGGAAUCUUCGGCAAUGGACGAAAGUCUGACCGAGCAACGCCGCGUGAGUGAAGAAGGUUUUCGGAUCGUAAAACUCUGUUGGUAGAGAAGAACGUUGGUGAGAGUGGAAAGCUCAUCAAGUGACGGUAACUACCCAGAAAGGGACGGCUAACUACGU